rnacentral:rRNA from 1 species
AUGUCGUGCUGGUGUGAUCUUGCCGGUGGUGGGGCGGGAGGUUGUGGCCUUCCCCGGGUCGCGUUCCGGGUUUUAUUUUCGUCCCACCUCAGCCGGUCUUUUUUGGUACUUCUUUGGUACUUGCUUCCACCUCCCCCUCAGCCGAGACGGUUUAUUUUCGCUGGUUUUUUUUCGCCAUCUCCCCCACCCCACCCCACCCCAUCCCACGCAAUGCAGAAGAAAAAAACAGCCCUCAGGAAAUCUCUGCUCCUCCCGAUCUCCCGUCCAAAAGAAAAACGCAGCGACAAGUCGCUCCUGUCGCCUAGCCCCUCGCGCGCGCUAGGGUUCCUCACGCCGCCGUCGCGGCCGCCGCUGCAUGGGUGUUCGUCGACUGGCCCUGCCUCCGGCGGCCGCCAUCGCCCACCUCCAUCCUCUCCCCAACCCCGCCGGCCUCCACUCCACUCCACUCUGUCACGCCUGCAGAUGACGAUCUGCAGCGGACUGCAAGUGCAGUUCAGGAAGAAGAAGAAGAAGAUGGAUCAAUACGAGGUGCUGGAGCAGAUUGGGAAGGGCUCCUUUGGCUCUGCGCUCCUGGUGAGGCACAAUGUUGAGAGGAAGAGGUAUGUCUUGAAGAAGACCCAGGUCGCCCGUCAGACCGUCAGGUGCCGGCGAUCCGCGCACCAAGAGAUGGAGCUCAUCGCAAAAGUAAGGAGCCCUUACAUCAUGGAAUACAAAGAUUCUUGGGUGGAGAAGGGGUGCUAUGUGUGCAUCGUGAUCGGUUACUGCGAGGGAGGGGACAUUAGCCGCAAAUUCCGCUUACUGAAUUUUGCCCCGUUGCAAUGCCAAUUUUUCUGGAUGCAGAAACUCUGUGUGUGGCUUGUGCAGCUCCUGAUGGUGCUUAAUUACUUGCAUGCCAAUCAUAUCCUUCAUCGAGAUGUCAAGGACCAAAGUAUACGGAUCGACACAACAGAUGCUUCUUCAUCUCACUGGUCUCUAGAGGAAGGAAGAGAUAUUGUCUGA